ACUUCCGUCCAGAGCUGCUGAAACCCUUCGCGUGCUUAUUCGGGCAGUACGGUCACAGGAAAGACCCUGCAGCCCCGGCUACGGCGCUUUGGUGACACUUUUCACGAGGUUCCAUAAAAGCUUCUUCCCAGGGCUGGCGUGGAGGGAUCCUCGCUGAGUCCUUUCCUCGCUGUUAGAGGAAAUGUGGACUCGACGUGGACGCGGGCACCACAAAGCCCGAGCGCCCUCUCCGCAUCGUCCCACCUCCUAGCUCCUGCAGACGCUUCCGGCGACUUGGCGGGUGUCCGCCGUCAAUCAGCCCGGCGUGCCAGCCCCUCAGCACCCAGAAACCCUUCGCAAGAUACUUCUCUGCUUCCGCAGGCUCGGGGCUGCUUCCCUAAGUUUUUCCUUCCUCCCGAGCAAGGAAGGCGGCCUUCCACUUCCGCCGUCUGCCCGGCGGCCCCUCCCCGCCCUCCCUCCGGGUCCUAGCGCCUGCCCCUCUCCGACUGUCCCGAGCUCCGUCGGCGCCAGGCACCGCCGCCAAAGCUGCGGAGCCUGCGAAAACCGAUCCAGGUAGGACACGCCGGCGGGAAGUCGCGGGGGCUCGGGCAGCGGCCCCCGACGCGGUUUGGGGUGCUCCCGGCUUCACGUGUGCUGCCGAGCGGACGGAGUUGACCAGGCGCGAGCAUCCCGGGCGGGGCGAGCCGUGAGCGGCCUCGGGCGGGCUGCGGGCCCAGCAGGUCCUAGAACCCGCCCGGUGCCCGCCGGUCAGUGCUUUGGAUGCCCAGGCUCAGCGGACGCGACUGCCGGCCCUGCUCGGCGCGGACCCGGGGGUCCUAGAGUCCGCCAUGUUCCGGGCUUUUGUCUGAGUGGCGAGGGCCUCGUCGCCGAGUCCUUGGCGGCUGCGCCCCCCCUCCCAGUCCGAGGUUCUGCCCGCCCCUCCCGCGGUCCUAAAGAACGCCAUUUUGCAGGUCUUUGUCCUGCUCUGAAUCCUCCGUCCAUUCAUUUCUUCAUGCCUUCCUUCUUCAUUCAUUCUGCCCUGUUCCGCUCGCCGAAGCUACGUUAUCCUAGGGUUUAGUCCCAAAUGAGUCAGCAUACAGCCCCGCUCUGCGGGGGCUGCCUGUCUGGCGAGGACACCCGCACAAACACGGUUGCAGAGAGCGAGGAGCGCUGGGUUUCUGCAGGUCUUGUCCCUCCUCAGAGAGUCUGGUAGGCCCUACUGCCCUGCAAACUCCCGUAUGCUGUUCCACUAUUCCACUGAAGAAAUUGAGUCCCCGAGCGCGAUGCAUCCCUCAUCUUACAGCUCGUUAUUAUUUUUGUGGGGAAUGGAGUAUUGGAAGCAUGCAAGUAUCUUCCCAUGGGAGAAGGAAAAGGAGGGACAAAGGGAAUUGCAUAUGGAGGUGGUAAAGUUUGUGAAUUGUUGAUGGAGCUUUGGUUGCUGACCAGAGUGGACGCUGCUACAGAAUCUGAGGGUGGAAAAAUGGGAUCAUGUGAGCUGACUGGUUGUUAGGCCUAGGAUAUCAUUAAACAUUCACCACAACACAGUUUCAUCAAAAGGCUCAAGGUUUGGGAGGCUUAUAUGUUGACCUAUUUGAGGAUUAUAUCUAGAUGCCUCUUUUUUUUUUUUUUUUUUUUUUUUUUUUACCACACCUGCGCUGCUCCCUCAAACCCAGCUUUGGGGACACUGAGUCUCAUUAACGUGUGAGAAAUUAAAAUGUCAUCUCUCUUACUGGGUUUCAUCACAACAGUAAACAAAUUGGAGUACUAGGGUGAUACUUGAACCAUGUGACCUUGUAAAAAACGGGGCAUUUAAGUUAAUAAAUAGUUGGUGACUGACUCUCACAAACUCCUACAGUGGAAGAGGCAGAGGCUAUAGACCUGGGUGUGAAUUCCACCAGAAGUUUGCUCUCAGUCACCAAACAGUUUUGGAGUAACAGGUGCGUAGAACAAAGUUCCCUGGACCCGAUUGCUGGAGGUGAAAAAUUAAGAACCAAAUAAUAACAUAUGCUAGUGCUACAAUAGUCAAGGGGACAGAUGGCAGAAAUGUCCAUAUCUGACUACUUGGCUUCAAAUACCAGCUAAGUCUGUGG
rnacentral:lncRNA from 1 species